GCUGGGUGGCUCAGUUGGUUAAGCGUCUGACUUCGGAUCAGGUCAUGAUCUUACAGUUCGUGGGUUCGAGCCCCACAUCAGGCU
rnacentral:tRNA from 1 species